AGUCCAGUGGUGAAAUUGGUUAUCGCCCUUGAUCAACAUUCAAGUGGUCCUGGGUUCAAAUCCUAUCUGGGCCA